UAAUAUGAUCAAAAUGUCUUCAAGUAUCUAGAGAAUCUGGAGAACCUCUGACCUCCACGUCCCUCUGAAUUUCUUCCCACUGGGAAGAAAAUAACGAUCUGCUCUGUAGAAACCCUCAUUGUCACUAGCUCACUAAUUAGAUUUUCAACUCUUCAUGGCCAAGAGAAUGACAGACAAAAUUGGAAUGUAGAAGAAAGGAAUUGUUCCUAAAUAUAACGAGAAAUUUUCUAAAAUACAUUGUUGCUAUGGAGGCACUGUGUUUGCAGAAGGUGCAAUGGACAUGGGACCAAAUGUCCUCUGCCCCUGGGUGAACUUCAAGGCACAUGGAGGAAUGGGCAAUGAGGUGACUAGUAGAUAACAAUGGACUGGAGAAGAGACCAUAUUUUGGAGGAUACCAUCUGAGAUUCUGGUGCAAUGAAUGUGAGCGAAACUCAAUAUUGACUGAGACAGGUCAGAAGUUCAGGAAGGAAAAAGAGCAUAGACUGGGUGCAUUGAGGUGAUGCCAUUCUCCAUGUCUGCUGAAGGUUAGCUUCAAGUCAUUGGACGAAGCUCCAGGUUAUGGACAAUACUAAAGGCCAUCAGAUGUCCUCCAAGACUCCUAUAAAGGCUAGCUGCCCUGAAACAGCCAGUGACCCAGUCAGAAGAUGACAUGAAUCUUCACCAGACAUCUAAAGGAGGUCUUUGGAGCAAGAAUCUUCCUGCUUUUCUGAGCUCAAUUUGAUCUUGAACAAAUCACCAGAAAAAUUUCCAUCUAGAAGACCAAGGACAGAAGUAGAUAGGAUAUGUGUUAUAGCAGCCAGAAUGCUUUUUGUCACAGGUGGAGAAAAGAUGGGCAGCUUGGAGUCAUGAAUGCCUGAUUGGAUCCAGACCUUUAAAGACAGGUGGGAUUUUGGUGGAUGAUGGGAGCUGAUGUAGACGAGUGGAUGAGAGAAGACUUACAGCAUGAUCUUUGCACUUGUGACUUCUGUGAGGCCUCUACAUUCGGAGCAAAGGAUGAUGUGCACAAUGUGUAGGAAAAAAAGAGUACGUGUGAAAGGCUGAUAUACC